rnacentral:misc_RNA from 1 species
GAUGAAGAACGCAGCGAAAUGCGAUAAGUAAUGUGAAUUGCAGAAUUCAGUGAAUCAUCGAAUCUUUGAACGCACAUUGCGCCCCCUGGUAUUCCGGGGGGCAUGCCUGUUCGAGCGUCAUUUCACCACUCAAGCCUCGCUUGGUAUUGGGCAACGCGGUCCGCCGCGUGCCUCAAAUCGACCGGCUGGGUCUUCUGUCCCCUAAGCGUUGUGGAAACUAUUCGCUAAAGGGUGUUCGGGAGGCUACGCCGUAAAACAACCCCAUUUCUAAGGUUGACCUCGGAUCAGGUAGGGAUACCCGCUGAACUUAAGCAUAUCAAUAAGCCGGAGGA